rnacentral:rRNA from 1 species
CCUACGGGAGGCAGCAGUUAGGAAUUUUGGGCAAUGGCGAAAGCCUGACCCAGCAACGCCGCGUGGGUGACGAAGGCCUUCGGGUCGUAAAGCCCUGUCGGAGGGAAGAAAGUUGCCUGGCUAAUAUCCAGGCGACUCUUGACGGUACCCUCAAAGGAAGCACCGGCUAACUCCGUGCCAGCAGCCGCGGU